GCAAAAAAUAAUGUAAUUUGGCUCGAUGUAAUACCGUUGAUGUAAAAAAAUUCCGAUGUAAUCGUGUUUUCCAGAUACACAAUCACACCGGUUCGAUGUUAUAUUACAUCAUUCUGAAAUUACACAAAAAUUGAAUUAAGUUUUUUUCAUUAUGUUGGGAAUAUGUAAUAUUUACAUUAAAGGAAUGUGAAUAUUACACACAAACAGCUGCAACCAAGUGGUUCCGACUAAGUUGGGUAGAAUUACACGAAAUCGAUGUAUGAUCGCAUAUUUUUGAAAUGCGAUAUUGAAUCUAGCAACACAGUUCUGAUUUUGUUGUGCUCGGACGGCUCGGACUAACAAGCUGCCAUUUUUAUUUUACCGCAACCGAUGAAUGCUGUUUGUUUGGAAAAUCAUUGACGGCAAUGUUAUACAUUGUAAUCAGCAUUCUUAAAUAAAGAAACAUCUAAAUCAGCCUACAAGCCAUAGAGAACGCCGUCAGGAAUUAAUCUGCGAUAAUCGAGAAUCGGGAAAAUGCCAGAUCGAGCGAAAGGAAAACGGUUCGAGUACGAAAAACCGCCACCAACACCAGAUCAGCAGGUAGUCCACCAAAUGCGUUGGCACCAACUACGUCCCGCCUGCUGCACUUCGGACCAGCGAUGGAUCGGAGAUCGUGCUACGGUAGCCGCUCGCUGUACCAUGUUGCGGUAACAAAUUCUCGACCUCGAAUCAUCCGGAAGAACAAAUAAAAAGAAAGUAUAACUGGAAGAUGGAGAUAUCUAUGUACACAACUUCCCCCACAGCAACGUUCCGUCAACAGAUACCGGGAAACUCAACCUGUUUGGAUGAAGAUAACGAUUCCAUCGCAAUAGCACCGGUCAAAGCGAAUCUUAGAAUCAAGGCGGUGGUUCCUGCUGACUGAAAACCUUUCAUCGGGAUGGAUUCGGAAAGAAAACCACAACGGGAUUGCUCCGACAUACGUGCCCGAACGGAGACCGUCACCAGGCAGGAGAAUCAGGAAUCCAGCUGAAGUUUAUAUACCAUUCCGGGGCUCAUAAGGACAUCUUGUCAUAUAGAUCCACUGAAGCGCCGAGUGGAUGUUGCAGCGCGAGUUGUUCGGGUUGGUGCACCAGUCGGACAAGGAUCCACGGUUUAGCGCUGCGGAUAUGGCAGAAGAAGUACCAUCCCUGACCGUAAUACGCGAGACACCUUUGGUGUAUUGGGCUCAAAAGACUUGUACGACCAGCUCACAAUGGUUCACAGUCUACUCAGGAAGUCAGCACACAAGAUCGAGCGUCUUCUCGCUAUCAUCACUCUGGUUAUCAAUACGAAGGCCUAUUACUGUUAAAAACGAUAAUAUAUAACAAAUAAAUACAAUUUAAUACUUUU
rnacentral:lncRNA from 1 species